GAAAUGCGAUAAGUAAUGUGAAUUGCAGAAUUCAGUGAAUCAUCGAAUCUUUGAACGCACAUUGCGCCCCUUGGUAUUCCGGGGGGCAUGCCUGUUCGAGCGUCAUUAUAACCCUCAAGCCUAGCUUGGUGUUGGGGCCUACCUUUGGGUAGCCCUUAAAAUCAGUGGCGGCGCCAUCUGGCUCUAAGCGUAGUAAUUCUUCUCGCUACAGAGUUCCGGUGGAUGCUUGCCAAUAACCCCUAAUUUUUUAUGGUUUGACCUCGGAUCAGGUAGGGAUACCCGCUGAACUUAA
rnacentral:misc_RNA from 1 species